rnacentral:tRNA from 1 species
UUGCGGGAGCAGGACUCGAACCUGCAGUAUCCAGGUCAUGAGCUUGGCGGCGAGUUGACCGAUUACUCUAUCCCGCU